GACGAACGCUGGCGGCGUGCUUAACACAUGCAAGUCGAACGAUGAAGCUGGAGCUUGCUCCGGUGGAUUAGUGGCGAACGGGUGAGUAACACGUGAGUAAUCUGCCCUUGACUCUGGGAUAACUGCGGGAAACUGUAGCUAAUACCGGAUACGACACCUUCGGGCAUCCGAUGGGGGUGGGAAGAAUUUCGGUCAAGGAUGAACUCGCGGCCUAUCAGCUAGUUGGUGAGGUAAUGGCUCACCAAGGCGACGACGGGUAGCCGGCCUGAGCGGGGCGCCGGCAACACGGGGACUGAGACACGGCCAAGACUCCUACGGGAGGAAGCAGGGGGAAAUAUUGCAAAAUGGGGGAAAGCCUGAUGCAGCACCGCCGGGUGAGGGAUGAAGGCCUCGGGGUUGUAAACCUCUUUUAGUUGGGAAGAAGCGAAAGUGACGGUACCAACAGAAAAAGCCCCGGCUAACUACGUGCCAGCCGCCGCGGUAA
rnacentral:rRNA from 1 species